rnacentral:rRNA from 1 species
AUGAACGCUGGCGGCAGGCCUAAAACAUGCAAGUCGAACGCUGUAGCAAUACAGAGUGGCGCACGGGUGAGUAACAUGUGGGAAUAUGCCUAUUGGUACGGAACAACGUUUGGAAACGAACGCUAAUACCGUAUGGUCCCUUCGGGGUAAAGAUUUAUCGCCAAUAGAUUAGCCCGCACUAGAUUAGCUAGUUGGUGAGGUAAGAGCUCACCAAGGCGACGAUCUAUAGCUGGUCUGAGAGGACGAUCAGCCACACUGGGACUGAGACACGGCCCAGACUCCUACGGGAGGCAGCAGUUAGGAAUAUUGGACAAUGGGCGCAAGCCUGAUCCAGCCAUGCCGCGUGAGUGAUGAAGGCCUUCGGGUUGUAAAACUCUUUAGCCGAUGAAUAUAAUGACUGUAGUCGGAAAAUAAGCCCCGGCUAACUUCGU